UUAAUGGAUACAAAACACGUUUUUCAUACAAAACAAUAAAUAAAACAGUGAAAAGAGGAGAUAGGAAACUAAAAGCUGCAAAACAAAAAAAACCCGUUUUAGUUGUUGAGGUGAAAUUUCCUUCUGACGUAUCGAAUCGCAUACUGUAAAUCGCAGGUAACGAGAUCUUCCGUCGCAGGUAACAAUAAUAUGAAAACUCCAAAAAUAAACAGUAGAAGUCGAUUUCUUGCCAAGUAUAAUUAUUGUUUUCGUAAAGGAUGAACAGCAAAGAGAACAUACAUUAACUCGCUAUUCAAUCUCAAAGCUCACUUUCUGGAUUUGGGCAGAAUGGAAGACUGAAAAGACAUUUACGGCAAGAUGAAUGUGAUUAAAAAG